rnacentral:piRNA from 1 species
GCCAGUCCAUUUAAAACAUGGUG